CCUUAGAGACCAACUAAGUUUGUUAUUGGUAUGAGCUUUCGUACAAAUAACAAACUUAGUUGGUCUCUAAGA